GAAAAACCCGAGGACCUGGAGAAUGAUCCACGCAACCAUGGGGAGAACAUGCAAACUCCAAAUAUGUCGGCGUCAGGGUCGGGAUCGAACUCACGACCUCCUCUAUACCAGGGAGCAGAGACUGGCACGUGCUGAGCGGACUUCAGCCGAAGACGUCGUACGACAUCAAGAUCCAGUGGUUUAGCACGGCGGGAGAGAGCGCGUUCAGCAACGUCAUGAUCUGCGAGACGAGAGCUCGCAACGCAGCAAGAAUGUGCGCAGCAUGGAAGGUUUUGGCGAACGAUCAACCUGGAAGCAAUUAUUGGGCCUGAAAAAAACACAGCGCAAUUAUUUAACAAGGCCACAAUCAAAACCUUUCACCCAGCAUGUGUCAUCCGAGUAAACUUUGGGUUACUGUUGAGAGCAUUUAAGAACGUCAACUGUGACUGCAAUUUAACUUUUUUUUAAAUCCUUUAUAUUAAGUUCACUUGCUUACGACCGUGCAAAUCUUUCGGUCGUUUUUUAACCCACUUCCCGUGA